GGAGAGGUGGCUCAGUGGUUAAGAGCACUGACUGUUCUUCCAGAGGUCCUGAGUUCAAUUCCCAGCAUCCACA
rnacentral:tRNA from 1 species